ACUCAUUUCAGACCUCUGACCUCCAGAACUGCCUAAAGUGCUGGAAUGGAAAGAAGCCUAGAAUAAGAACUAAGCAGCACAAGCUUUGGCUUCAGCUCAGCCAAUAACCAGCUGUACAAUGGUGGUGAGUCAGAACUCUGGGCCUGCCUGUUUCCUUAUCUGUGAAAACCUGUAAAGAGGGCUUCUUACUCUGUUAAAAGUUUUCUACAGAAGUGGCAACUGGAUCCCAGAAACUCUUAUCUUCAUUGGGCAUUUCAUUCCUGGUCAAGAGCAACAAUAAUUUAACUGGCUGAUUUAUCAUUACAUACUGGGGUCUUUCUGACUCCCCUGCUUAUAGGAUCCUCCCUGACUUCAGGCCCACGUAGUCCAGAAACAUCCAAUCUCAGUUUUUUCCUCUGCCAUUUGUCUGAGAUUAUGUUUUCUGUUACCUACUGGCUGGCACUAGUUUUGAUAUCAGUCAGAUCCUGGAUUAUAAGCAACAGAAACCGACCUGACGAAUGAAAGCAGAAAAUUGUCAGAAGGAAUCAGUUGGAAGGUUGUAGAACCACUUUUGAAGAGUGGGCUGAAGCUGAAGAAGACAACCUCAUACCCAGAAAUAAUUUAGUUAUGAUACUGCCAUGGCAUUGUCAACACUGUCCAUUCACUGCUGUUGUGCCUUGAUCUUCAACAUUGCUAGUGGAAAUUCUCUACAGUCUCUGUAACAAGUACCCUCACAACAGACCUUGUAUCUUUGCAUCAAUUCUGCUGUUUCAAAGUGCUUGACAUGACCAUCCGAAUGAUUAAGCUUUCCAUUAAGACUUAAAUAUGGAGGGAUUCUGCCAAAUAGAAAGGGUUCCUUGCUGUUGUAUAGACACCCUUCACCAACCACCUAUUUCCCACCAAAUAAAAAUAGCUUUCAUCAUAAGGUAUCUGCAGACUUUGUGGUUCCUCCAGUGUCAUUUCAAUGAUAUCUAUACUCAAAACAUGAAAAUGUUUGAAGGGCCUUUUGGUUUAUGCUCCCAGAUGAUACUAAAAGUAAUGGACAUAACAAAAUAUCAACUGGGCACAUAGUGCAUAGAGAGAGGGUAGCAAAAACUCAGCUCAGCUCCUAAAAGAUACUUCAUAAAUUCUUUGAGGGUGAAAGCUGCCUUAUAUUAGUAUCCUCAUUAUCUUGUGCUUGAAACAUAGAUGCUCAACAUAUAUUUGUUGAAUGAAUAAAUGUUAGUUAUAUCUAAAGCUAUUUAUCUUUUGAAAAUGAGGACUGGGAUUUGAAUCUCAUUCUAGUUCUCCAAGGCCACUUGCAGUGGAAUCUCAAUUUUUAGAUCAUCUGCAUUAGAGUCAUCUGGGAUACAGGUUAAAAAUGCAGAUUCCUGAACACAUCCUAGAUCUAAACUAAGUCGGACUAAUUAUGAGUGAGGCUCAAGAAUCUACAUUUUAAACAAGCACUCCAAAUUAUUCCCAUGCACACUAGA